CGAGAAAAGAGGAAGGAGAGACAAGUGCAGCCCAGGGAGGCAUUUUUGCCAUCACCACGGCCGCAGCUGUGCCACGACUCAGGCUGCCAGGAGGAAAGAGAGCAGUGCGAUCCUCGCAGUGCAGAGCGUGGAGCCCUGGAGGGCAGGUCCAGCCAGUUCUCUCAACCCCAUUUUAUAGAGGAGAAAACAGGUCCACAAAGAUGAAGUGAAUUGUCGAACAGUCUGGACUUGUACAGGGGCCUGAUCUCGUGACACUGGCAUUUCCUGGCACGUCCAGGUUCAAGAGUGUGUCCUCAUGCAUUUCAUCAUAACUGCAAUGAUGUGAAGCUGGCAGGGCAGAACGGCCAUCCUCCUUUGAGAGAGGACGGAAAAGAGGAUCCCAGAGGGUGGCUCACCGAGGAUCAUCUGACUUCAUGUUUUGGCUUUAAGCUACGAAUCUGAAUUUUCUAUGAGAAAACCCAUUGUUUCAGAGGAGAGUAUAGAAGUUCAAAUAUAGAGCCCAACUUGAUAUUGGCUGUUGGCUCAAUCUGCGUGGACUACCAUAACAAAGAACCGCAGAACGGUGGCUUUAACAACCGAAAUCUGUUUCUCACAGCUGUGGAGGUUGGAAGUCCCAGAGGAUUUGGUUCCUGGUGAGGGCUCUCUUCCUGGCUUGCAGACAGCUGCCUUUUCUCUGUGUUCUCUUGCCGUGUCUCACAUGAGAGACCUCUCUCUUUCCCUCUUUUCCUAUAAGGCCACAGUUCUAUCAGAUUAUCUCCCUACCACCCCUUAUGAUCUCAUGUAACUUUAAUUACCUCCUAAAGACCCUAUCUCCACAUAUCAUCAUGCUGGGGCUAGGACUUCAACAUACAAAUAUGGGGGGGACACAAUUCAGUCCAUAGAAAGUAUGUCUAGGAGAGAUCAGCCUGGCUUCUAACAUACCUUAUAUUUUAGCGAAUUCACUUUGGUCCAAGGACUUCAGGUCGUCAGAUCCUCAGAUAAGCUCAGUCUUGUAUAUGCUCCAGAUGUGAUCAGACAUUGGUUGCUGACACACCUUACCCAAGUCCAAAGUUACACAUUUCUUAAGAUAAACUAAUUGCAUUACAAUAAAAUUUUGCAGCCUUAAGAAGUAGCAACUUUAUCUCCAAUAUCAUCUAUUAAGUGUUGAUUUGUAUUUACUCUCAGAGCUAGUUUAUUUCUGUUUCUUAUGGAACAUUUCACUGUCACUUCCAUGCAUCACUUAUAUGGACCAAGAGCCGUCUGUUCACUCUUAGUUAAGCUUGAUUUUUCCUCUCUUUGCUCCAGUUCUCCUAGUAUUUUUGAGAAUCUUGUUGAUAUCCAUGGACUCUUCAUUUCUUAUGUCAGAGAAGACAUGCUAUGCCUCACCUUCUGCAUUAUGUUAAUGUAAGGUUCUUGCUUAUUGUUUCCAUGAAAAGUCAGACUCAACAACCUGUUAUUUCCAUUUUAAUUUAAUAACAAUUUUUUUGGGAGACUUAAUUCUGGAAACAGAAGGAGCCUAACACAGUGGUAGCUUUUUUAAUAUACAUUUCCCCAAACUCUGCCUGAAAUUCUCACUUUGCUUUUCUUAUAUUGCCUGUAAACCUACUGAUUUCAGAUUCUACUUUGAAAAAUGUGAAACUGAUACAGGCCAAAUGAAAGGGCUUCUCACUAUAGAAACUCUUUAAGUUUUCUUUCUUUCGUGUUUAACUCAUUAGUUUCUUAAUCAUAAAUAAUAGAUUGUUUUUAACCUGAAUCAUAGAAAUCUCCUACCCCCUCCUUUAGAUAAUUGCUCUGAAAUUUGUGAUUUGUGCUUAUUGAUUGUAAUCAUUGAAGCCUAAUGUUCUCUCCUACCCCUUCCAGGCCUGACUCCUGGACAAUUAAUGACACCUGAAUAACCGGUUAAGUGGCCACAGGCCCUAGAGAGCCGACAGAUUUUCCAUCAUGUAGCCACCUCACAUUAAUAUCUUUGAGCUCUGCUCUUUAAGCCAACACUUUUAAAUUUAUUAAUUAAAAUCUAUUUUUCCUCAUUUGGGGGUCUUGGGGAUACAGAUGAUACCCCAACAAGAUUACCAGUCCCAGCCAAAGAACCCAAUGCGGUCUUGCAGGUGGAUCUCGAGACCCCUUCCUCUCAUCUGAGAUCAAAUAGGGCGAGAGUUCUGUGAAUCCCCAACAGGUAGGGACAGCUCUAUGCCCUGCCCAGCAGGAAGCAGAUACAGAAGAAAAGACCUCCUGUUCCUCCACUACCCAUAGAGAUUUUAAGGGGAUCACGUCUCUCAAGGGGAAAACAAGGCAGGCAGUUAGAGAUAGACAUCGGGUCUCUACAUUCUUGUACAUCCAACACAACCCAUAGAAAGCGACUGCCGAAAAGACCUCCCCUCUCUGCCCAAAACUUUCCCUUUUUACUGUAAUUAUCUACCCCUAUGAGAAAACAAAUGGGUACAAAAUACCCAACUAGAUUAAACCUGCCACUCAUACCUUCUCAGUAAAGGCUACAAUGACCUCCAUUUCACCUGGACCUCAUUAUACCAUAUUAUAAUAUCAUACAUAUGCCCAGAAGUUCCUUAAUAUCAUUAUAACAGACUGAAUUCUGGGAAGGAACAUGCACAGUCUAAAGAGAGGAGGUAAUGGCCCUUUGUCAAUCACAGGUGUCAAUCAAUUAGUCCCACGCCCAGAGAGGAACAGCCCAUUAUAGAGAAAAAAAAGGGAUUAAAAACUCCAAGUCCUCACCAUUCAGGGCCUUUUGAGCCUCUUUUUUUGCUCGGCCUGCUCCAAACUCUUUGGAGUGCACUUUUUCUCCUAAUAAUGCCACCUUUGGCCCUGGAGCUAUUCUCUGCUGCUCGGGUCCACUUCUAUUUCUUUGGAGUGUACUGUCUCUUCUAAAAAACUAUU